CGAGGUGUGGCUUAGUUUGGUAGAGCGCCACGUUAGGGACGUGGAGGCCGUGGGUUCAAAUCCCGUCACCUCGA
rnacentral:tRNA from 1 species